rnacentral:rRNA from 1 species
CAUCGUAGCUUGCUACACCGAUUGGAAAUUUAGAGUGGCGAACGGGUUGAGUAACACGUGGGUAACCUGUAGCCCAAAAGAAGGGGGAGUAACAACUUGGAAACAGGUGCUAAUACCGCAUAACCAUGAUGACCGCAUGGUCAUUAUGUAAAAGAUGGUUUCGGCUAUCACUUUUGGAUGGACCCGCGGCGUAUUAACUUGUUGGUGGGGUAACGGCCUACCAAGGUAAUGAUACGUAGCCGAACUGAGAGGUUGAUCGGCCACAUUGGGACUGAGACACGGCCCAAACUCCUACGGGAGGCAGCAGUAGGGAAUCUUCCACAAUGGGGCGCAAGCCUGAUGGAGCAACGCCGCGUGAGUGAAGAAGGUCUUCGGAUCGUAAAACUCUGUUGUUAGAGAAGAACAUGCGAGAGAGUAACUGUUCUUGUAUUGACGGUAUCUAACCAGAAAGCCACGGCUAACUACGUGCC